UACGUAGGUGGCAAGCGUUGUCCGGAAUUAUUGGGCGUAAAGCGCGCGCAGGCGGUCCUUUAAGUCUGAUGUGAAAGCCCACGGCUCAACCGUGGAGGGUCAUUGGAAACUGGGGGACUUGAGUGCAGAAGAGGAGAGUGGAAUUCCACGUGUAGCGGUGAAAUGCGUAGAGAUGUGGAGGAACACCAGUGGCGAAGGCGACUCUCUGGUCUGUAACUGACGCUGAGGCGCGAAGGCUAGGGGAGCGAACAGG
rnacentral:rRNA from 1 species